CGGCGGACGGGUGAGUAACGCGUGGGUAACCUACCUCAUACGGGGGAUAACAGUUGGAAACGGCUGCUAAUACCGCAUAAGCGCACAGUACCGCAUGGUACCGUGUGAAAAACUCCGGUGGUAUGAGAUGGACCCGCGUCUGAUUAGCUAGUUGGUGGGGUAACGGCCCACCAAGCCGACGAUCAGUAGCCGACCUGAGAGGGUGACCGGCCACAUUGGGACUGAGACACGGCCCAA
rnacentral:rRNA from 1 species